CGGAAAAUAAAAUCCGAGCGCCGGUAUCCAGGAAUCUCUCGACUAUGGCGGACAGGCCGCCGAGGAAUAUUACGUCGUAACUGGAAACGCAAGAGACACAUACGCAUAAGAUGAUACGACUCUAUGUUCCUGCGCUGAGAUUAACUUUGUAUCCACCGCCGGGACCGGAAGAUACGUUACCGCCCUUCCAUGACUCGCCCAGGCCGAGGAUCUUCAAGUUAUCGCGGAAUCCAUAGAUCUCAGCCGAUCUCAAGUACCUUCGGAAGCCAUCCGUUUCGUCGGAGGCAACAGUGGCGACCAGGACAUCUAAAAUAUACGCGCACAAAAAUUCGCAAGAAAAGUACGAAAAAAUUUUCAUGUCAAAAGAGAAAUUGCAUAUUCCGGCAAUCAGGGCGAUUCUGGCGAAGAUGAAGCGCCCUUUUUUUAAAUUACCGUCGAGAUCGUACCGGCGAGAGACCAACUUUUGAUCCGACAGUCAUAGUUACUCAGAUGGUGAAAUCGUCAGCAUUACGCCGAGCUUGUGAUGUCACGUCAAAAAGUAGCGCCCGCGUGAGCCGCGGCACGUUCGCCGGCUACGUUAAACGCGCGAGAAGAGAGGCUGCUCUUGUAUUACUGAGCUGUCGAUAUCCUUACGCAAGCAAGAAUAUCCGAGAUAUUCUUAGAACGGGUAUACCGAAUCCCCAUGGAGAGCCAAGAAGCGGAAAAGAGCUUGUGGUACAAGCUCGUACUUGAAUCUGAUACUCGCGCGACGUUAAAAUAUUCGGCUUUGUCGAACGGCUUGCGAGAAGAUGCGGCGCGCACUUACGAAACAAUAAACGUGUAUACACACAUACACAUUUAACACAAGUGAUUCGUAUGAACAUUUACAUUGUAAGGCGACUAUCUCUCCUGAAGAGAAUUCACGAGAAUACGACACACAAUUCACUCGUCCGAUGAACAACGCCGGAAAUGAUGACGAUAAGGAUCGUGCGUCGGAUUACACGACGAAAGAAACAAGGACAAAGUAAAUUGGUUCGAGUUUAACGAGCAAAAUCGUUACGUCACGCUAUAUAUCACUUGACCAUUGGUGAACCUUAAAAGAUAAACCUUAGCUUUUUAGUUAGAUAGCCCCCGUAAGAUGGCCGUCUAAUAAAUAAUUUCCUCGAUUGCAAGCAUAGCGAUUCUUCGAAGACGCGUUUACUCGCGACAAAAAAGUUUUGUUAUCAGUUGACCAUAUAAGAUGCAACUUAAUAAUUAAUAAUUAGUUAUUUUUAAAAGUGUAACAACUUGUUUCACAUGAUUAAUUGUUUCAGCAAAAUAAAGCAACACCAAUUUUAUAAUUUUCUUAACGCAGAGUUACAGAUCGCUAUGCGGACAAGGAAAAGUAAACGUUAAAUGACGUAUCGCAAGAACAAUAAUGUUAGUAAAAGUUGCAAAUAACAAUGUGUAAAUAACGCCCUCGCGAGCAAAGUUUAUUAUUUCAGGCACGUAACACACAUCCAACAAGAAAAGAACCUCCUGACUCAUCGCCAACCAAACCGGGGUCGACGAACUAUGAUUUUCGCUGCCACUUUCCCGUUUCAAUAAAAUGAAUAAAUAAAUAUAAUAAUUUAUUAUAUUAACUCUUUGUAGCGUUUUGUAAUUUAUAGUUUAUCUUUCGAGAAAAUCAAAGAGUCGCGCUUAUGCGCGAAAAUGGGAUUCCCCAAUUGAACAUUUUUACCGUGAGACAACGCGUGAGUGUCCAAAAUCUAUGAAUUCGAAAAUAAAAAACAAGAUGCACGAUA